UGAGGAAUAUUGGUCAAUGGGGCGGAAGCCUGAACCAGCCAAGUAGCGUGAGGGAUGACUGCCCUAUGGGUUGUAAACCUCUUUUAUAAGGGAAUAAAAUACGGGACGUGUCCUGUUUUGCAUGUACCUUAUGAAUAAGGACCGGCUAAUUCCGUGCCAGCAGCCGCGGUAAUACGGAAGGUCCAGGCGUUAUCCGGAUUUAUUGGGUUUAAAGGGAGCGCAGGCCGCCGGGCAAGCGUGUUGUGAAAUGCAGUCGCUCAACGUCUGCACUGCAGCGCGAACUGCCCAGCUUGAGUGCGCGCAACGUUGGCGGAAUUCGCCGUGUAGCGGUGAAAUGCCUAGAUAUGGCGAAGAACUCCGAUUGCGAAGGCAGCUGACGGUGCGUAACUGACGCUCAUGCUCGAAAGUGCGGGUAUCGAACAGGAUUAGAUACCCUGGUAGU
rnacentral:rRNA from 1 species